rnacentral:rRNA from 1 species
UACGGAGGAUGCGAGCGUUAUCCGGAUUUAUUGGGUUUAAAGGGUGCGUAGGCGGAAUAUCAAGUCAGCGGUAAAAAUUCGGGGCUCAACCCCGUCGUGCCGUUGAAACUGAUGUUCUUGAGUGGGCGAGAAGUAUGCGGAAUUCGUGGUGUAGCGGUGAAAUGCUUAGAUAUCACGAAGAACUCCGAUUGCGAAGGCAGCCUGCUGGACUGUAACUGACGCUGAUGCUCGAAAGUGUGGGUAUCAAACAGG